UAGCUAUUGCUUUGCACACGCUGACACAAUCAUCCGAUCACACCGGCUUACGGCCUCCUCCACCUGCGGACUGGAUAAACCAGAGACAUUCUGCAUUCUGACCGGUGAGUGUUUCUGUAAGCCUGGUUUUGGAGGGACGACAUGUGAGGAGUGCAGGGAACUGUUCUGGGGCAAUCCUGAGGUCCAGUGCCACGCAUGCGACUGAUCCACGAGGCAUUGGCACUCAACAGUGUAAUAAGAUGACUGGCGAGUGUAUGUGCGUAGAGGGCAUAGCGGGGCGGAGGUGUGACUCAUGUGGACGUGGCUACAUUGGGACCUUUCCUGACUGCGAGGCCUGUCAUCAUUGUUUCCGCGAAUGGGAUGUUAAUGUGGGAGAGCUGACCAAUCACACACAGAGACUGGUGGAUACAGUAGAGGAAAUGAAAGAGACUGGCAUGGCUACGCACUAUAAAGACAUCAUAUCAAAUCUGGAUGAUGAAACCAGUCAGCUCAGACAGAUUCUGGAAGAUGACAAGGCUCACACACAUGCAGAGGAUGCUGCAGCAAGCCAAUGAGACAGCAUCAGUCCAGAGAAAGUCUAUGGACCGAUCUGAAAAAGAUCUGGAGAAGGUAUCUGCUGACCAUCAGCAGGCUGUGGAGAACCUAAAAGUCUGCCCAGAUACGGAAAGCUGCAGAGGCCAAACUAGAGAGCACAGAGAAAGAAUUUAACCUGAAACAUCAGCUGCAUAUACAGAGGCUGGACAAAAUUGGAUCUGAACUGGACUCCACAGACCUUUCACAGCUAAGCCGUCGGGUGUCAGAUGCUCGAGGACAUGCAGAUAAGGCCAAGCUCAAUGCUCAGGAUGUGUUACUGAGAGCCAAUCAGAGCAAAGCACGAGUGGAACAGACCAAUGAGGAGCUCAAGAGACCUCAUUCAGCAAAGACUUCCUCACAAACGAAACUGAUCCAAAGCGUAUAGAGGAAGUAGCUGAUGAGGUGAUGAAACAGUUUGCCAGUGUCAGUGCCUGGUGCACUAAAGAACGUGACCACGGAGAUCCGCCAACAUGUGGCCAGACUGACCCAGACGGCAGAGAAUACUCGCACUGCAGAGAGACUCCUACAAGAAGCACAGGCUGCCAAUGAGAGAGCUACAGCACUGAAACAGACCACUGAUGAAGUGAAGGAAACUCUAGAGGAUACUGUGCGUGCUCAGACUGCUGCCAACCAAACAACAAAUCACUGAUGUACAAUCAAAAACUGAAGUUCAAACUGAGUAGCAGCACAGGAAAGUUUCUGGAUCUUGAGAGAGAGGUUGACGAACUCCAACAGAAAACUCUAGAAACGUCCAGUAGUGCAGAUCAAACUCCGAGACAAACUGAAAACAUCACAGCAGAAAUCGAGCACACAGAACGGAUCAAAAGGCAGCAGGUGUGUUUAAAGCUCAUCAGAAGGCUGUGCAACUACGCCAGGAGGCAAAAGAUCUAUUAAUAGGUGCCACAAACAAACUACAGAGACUAAGAGAGUUGGAGAGAUCAUUUGUGAUAAAUCAGCACAUUCUGGUGGAGAAAGCUCAGGAGACGGAUGGGCUGGAGAAUGAGGCCAGAGAUGUACUGCAAGAACUCCGUCAGAAAAUCACCAUCUACAGCACCUGCGCUUAACUACUAUGACCAAAAACGAAUUAAUAAUGUUAUAAGCUCAGACUAUAAUCAGAUGUCAACCAUGUAAAUGCAAUUUUGUAUUGUCAAAAAUAAGUUGCUAACUGCCUGACCAAUUCAAGGUAUCCCUUUCAAUAUGCAUAUUUUUGCCUUUUCUAUGAAACUACGAAAAAAGCUCAUUCAGUUUAUUGUGUCCUAAAUAUGAGGAAUCUUGCAGUGUGCAAUAUCAAUAAACAUUCCUCUGGGCGGAAUAAGCCCCUCCAUUGUUGUGAGCAGCAAAUCAGGUUGGAUCUGCUUGUUAAAACUAAGUAUGGUGACAAUGAAAUGCCAAAAUAAAAAUUCCUUUAGAUUAUGUGAUGAAGCAAUAAACCACUGUGGCUUAUUGUUUUGUCUUUUUACUUUCAUAAAACUGUGGAAACAGCAAAAUUAUCAAAACAACUAUAUACGAUGUUUAUUAAAUAUUUA